rnacentral:rRNA from 1 species
UAAACUGGGGCAGUAAAUUAUUUAUUAUUUUAAUUAAAAUAAUUAUUAAAAUAUCCUUACAUUGAUAAACAAGUUACCAUAGGGAUAACAGCAUAAUAAAUUUUUAAAGAUCAUAUAAAAAAAUUAGAUUAUGACCUCGAUGUUGAAUUAAUUACCUAAUAAAAGAAAAUAUUUAAUAAGGAAGUCUGUUCGACUUUUUAAAAAUUACAUGAUUUGAGUUCAGACCGGCAUAAGCCAGGUCGGUUUCCAUCUUCUUAAACUCUUUUACAGUACGAAAGGACCUAAAAAUUUAAUAA